rnacentral:rRNA from 1 species
AUUGAACGCUGGCGGCAUGCCUUACACAUGCAAGUCGAACGGCAGCGCGGACUUCGGUCUGGCGGCGAGUGGCGAACGGGUGAGUAAUACAUCGGAACGUACCCUGUUGUGGGGGAUAACUAGUCGAAAGAUUAGCUAAUACCGCAUACGACCUGAGGGUGAAAGUGGGGGACCGCAAGGCCUCACGCAGCAGGAGCGGCCGAUGGCUUAUUAGCUAGUUGGUGGGGUAAAGGCCCACCAAGGCGACGAUCAGUGGCUGGUCUGAGAGGACAAUCAGCCACACUGGGACUGAGACACGGACCAGACUCCUACGGGAGGCAGGAGUGGGUAAUUUUGGACAAUGGGGGCAACCCUGAUCCAGCAAUGCCGCGUGUGUGAAGAAGGCCUUCGGGUUGUAAAGCACUUUUGUCCGGAAAGAAAUCGCGCUGGUUAAUACCUGGCGUGGAUGACGGUACCGGAAGAAUAAGCACCGGCUAACUACGUGCCAGCCGCCGCGGUAA